GUGGGAGGGGGCUUGCUCCCGAUGGCGGUGAGUCAGUUACAGAUGCAUUUACUGAUACACUCUCAUCGGGAGCAAGCCCCCUCCCAC
rnacentral:misc_RNA from 1 species